CUGAGUGGUUGUUAGCCAAGAUGGCCGUAGCGAUCGCUGCAGCGAGGGUCUGGCGGCCAAACCGUGGCCUGAGCCAGGCUGCCCUCCUGCUGCUGCGGCGGCCUGGGGCUCGGGGACUGGCUAGAUCUCACCCCCACAGGCAGCAGCAGCAGUUUUCAUCUCUGGAUGACAAGCCCCAGUUCCCAGGGGCCUCGGCGGAGUUUAUAGAUAAGUUGGAAUUCAUCCAGCCCAACGUCAUCUCUGGAAUCCCUAUCUACCGCGUCAUGGACCGGCAAGGCCAGAUCAUCAACCCCAGCGAGGACCCCCACGUGAGAGGCGGCCUCCCCCACUUCCCGUGCCCCCCACGCCCAGGCCCCUUGCCUGUCUCCUCUCUGGUCCCAACCGCCCCACGUCUAUCUGUGCCUCCACCCGCAGCUGCCGAAGGAGAAGGUGCUGAAGCUCUACAAGAGCAUGACACUGCUUAACACCAUGGACCGCAUCCUCUAUGAGUCUCAGCGGCAGGGCCGGAUCUCCUUCUACAUGACCAACUAUGGUGAGGAGGGCACGCACGUGGGGAGUGCCGCCGCCCUGGACAACACGGACCUGGUGUUUGGCCAGUACCGGGAGGCAGGUGUGCUGAUGUAUCGGGACUACCCCCUGGAACUAUUCAUGGCCCAGUGCUAUGGCAACAUCAGUGACUUGGGCAAGGGGCGCCAGAUGCCCGUCCACUAUGGCUGCAAGGAACGCCACUUCGUCACUAUCUCCUCUCCACUGGCCACGCAGAUCCCUCAGGCGGUGGGGGCGGCCUACGCAGCCAAGCGGGCCAACGCCAACAGG
rnacentral:sRNA from 1 species